CCUACGGGUGGCAGCAGUGGGGAAUAUUGGGCAAUGGGCGCAAGCCUUACCCAGCAAUACCGCGUGAGUGAAGAAGGUCUUCGGAUUGUAAAGCUCUUUGAUCAGGGACGAACAAAUGACGGUACCUGAAGACCAAGCCCCGGCUAACUACGUGCCAGCAGCCGCGGUAAAACGUAGGGGGCGAGCGUUGUCCCGGAUGACUGGGAGUAAAGGGUGCGUAGGCGGGAUUAUAAGUUAGAAGGGGAAUACCCAGGGCUUAACUGGGGUGCGGCUUCUAAAACUGGUGAGCUUGAGUGCGGGAGAGGUUAAUGGAAUUCCUAGUGUAGCGGUGGAAUGCGUAGAUAUUAGGAGGAACACCAGAGGCGAAGGCGAUUAACUGGACCGUAACUGACGCUGAGGCACGAAAGUGUGGGUAGCAAACAGGAUUAGAUACCCUGGUAGUC
rnacentral:rRNA from 1 species